ACUGUUUUUCACUUAGUCUUUCAACACAGACUGAAUGGCCAGAUUGAUUCUCACUACUAAAUUCCCAUCACAUGAUUUACACUAGCAGGCUCUUGCUGUAAAGUUAUAGCAGGGAGCUGGUCAGGAUGCAAAGACACAACACCAAAGAUUAAACUACACAGCUCAAGAAACGUGGAAUCCCUGUUUGCGUAGGCUUUUUUUUGUUGUUGUUUGUUUGUCUUUUUGUUCUCAGAAUAACUUUCUUUGUGACGGGCUGUGUAGGAUAUCUGGCUCUGUCUGACAGGAGGCUCAGCUGAACACACCAGCUCUAUCACACAGAGGUGCUGAACUGAGGGCUGAAGGUUCCAGGAUUUGCAGUUCAAACUGAAGAUCUGCUCCCAAGCUCUGCAAAAAUGAGAAGCAGAAACCCUGUUUGAAGUCAGCAUUGUCAGAGUUUUAUAAAUCCUGCUGCAGAGCUCCAACUGGGCUGCACUCCAAGAGCAUUUAUUUGGAUAAAAACCAAAAUAAAAUAAAAAUGAAACUCACCCUGUAACCUAUUCCAUUGCUCCCUAUUCUUCCAGACUUACUUAAAAAAACCUUCUAGAGAAGAGCUAUUUGCUCAGAAAAGUGAAAUCUGAAGACUGGUAGCAAUAAAAUAAUAUUUGAGUA